rnacentral:sRNA from 1 species
ACAAGUACCGUCUUCCUUUGGAUCAAAGUAAGCUACCAUUGAAGCAAUUUUGGGGUAUUAAAGUUUUUCAUUGGCUUUUUCUAGAAAAAGAUUCCUUAAUGCUUUAACUUUUUUCAUGUUUAAAUGUUCCUUUCUUUUUUCUUUUGAUUUUUUAAAAAAUAACUAACACUUGCAACUCGGUUGCCAACAGGGAUCAGACGCUUUGCUGAUCAAUUCAAAAAAUUAAAGAUUUGCAUUUGCUCUUCCACUAAAUAAAUUGACCGACUUAUUGAGAAGUGCCAACAAAAUUGCAAAAAGUUUUUAGAAAGCAUUAAAUGAAUAAAAAUGCCAACAAUUAGCAAUUAUUAGAACUACUCAGAUCAAAACCUUUAUCAGUAGAUAGUUGUUAAUAAAUGAUUGGAAAUUUCAGUGUUUUAAUUAAUGUUCAACCCGAAAUUCCAAUUCAAGUUCUUAUCCCAAAAAGGCUUUUUACAAAAAAAGCAAAAUUAAAGAGUUAUUUUUACUGUUGAUGCGCAAAAAGAAGUUUUUGUCAAAGGUUUCCUUUGGUUCUUUAUUUUUGUUAUGUGGAACAGUUUUAAGCGCCUGUACUGGUAUCCAAGCAGAUCUUAGAAAUCUUAUUAAAGAAGCCACCGGUAAAGACAUUGAUGUGUAUAAAGCAAUUAAAACUACAGAAGGCAAAAAGAACAUGAUAACUUCUCUAAAGAAGUCUUACAAAGUUAAUCCGAAAGAUACAACAAAAUUGUUGUUAGACGCCUGAAAACAAAGUGCGGAAAAGGGCGAAUUAGGUAUUCCAGAUUUUGAUUUUGACGAUGUAAUUUAUCCCGCAAGCAAGGAUCCUUUUACGAUGGAGCGAAAGAUUGAAUAUUUCCAGAUGACAUACCAAAGUUUUAAGGAUUUGUCAAUUGAAGCUAAGUUGAGCUAUACCUUUAAUUGGUUUGGAGAUUAUUCUUCAGGUGAUUUCACUG